CGAACGCUGGCGGCGUGCUUAACACAUGCAAGUCGAACGCUGAAGACCUGGCUUUUGUUGGGUUGGAUGAGUGGCGAACGGGUGAGUAACACGUGAGUAACCUGCCCUCUUCUUUGGGAUAACGCCCGGAAACGGGUGCUAAUACUGGAUAUUCACUGAUCUUCGCAUGGGGGUUGGUGGAAAGGUUUGUUCUGGUGGGGGAUGGGCUCGCGGCCUAUCAGCUUGUUGGUGGGGUGAUGGCCUACCAAGGCUUUGACGGGUAGCCGGCCUGAGAGGGUGACCGGUCACAUUGGGACUGGGAUACGGCCCAGACUCCUACGGGAGGCAGCAGUGGGGAAUAUUGCACAAUGGGCGAAAGCCUGAUGCAGCGACGCCGCGUGAGGGAUGGAGGCCUUCGGGUUGUAAACCUCUUUCGCGCAUGGUCAAGCCGCAACUGUGGGUUGUGGUGAGGGUAGUGGGUAAAGAAGCGCCGGCUAACUACGUG
rnacentral:rRNA from 1 species